rnacentral:rRNA from 1 species
GACGAACGCUGGCGGCGUGCUUAACACAUGCAAGUCGAACGGAAAGGCCUGCUUUCCCUUGUGGAUUGCGGGUACUCGAGUGGCGAACGGGUGAGUAACACGUGAGUGAUCUGCCCCCAACUUGGGUAUAAGCCCGGGAAACUGGGUCUAAUUCCCGAUAGGACUGCAGGGUGGUGCCUGUGGUGGAAAACGAUUUUCUAGUGGUUGGGGAUGAGCUCGCGGCCUAUCAGCUUGUUGGUGGGGUAAUGGCCUACCAAGGCGGCGACGGGUAGCCGGCCUGGGAGGGUGGACGGCCACAUUGGGACAGGGAUACGGCCCAGACGCCUACGAGAGGCAGCAGUGGGGAAUAUUGCACAAUAGGCGGAAGCCUGAUGCAGCGACGCCGCGUGGGGGAUGACGGCCUUCGGGUUGUAAGCUCCUUUCGACCGCGAGGAAGCCACCUGGUUAGAAGGGUGGUGACGGUAGUGGUAGAAGAAGCACCGGCUAACUACGUG